UAACUGUUCAGUAUAACCUAUAAAGCAGUAGUUGGUUGUGAAUUAUAGUGGCACCAGCUAGCCCCUCUAUGAUUUAAAGGUCUUUUCAGUACUUCUAAAAUAAGACCUUAU